rnacentral:rRNA from 1 species
CUCGUAGGCGGCCAACUAAGUCAGACGUGAAAUCCCUCGGCUUAACCGGGGAACUGCGUCUGAUACUGGAUGGCUUGAGUUUGGGAGAGGGAUGCGGAAUUCCAGGUGUAGCGGUGAAAUGCGUAGAUAUCUGGAGGAACACCGGUGGCGAAGGCGGCAUCCUGGACCAACACUGACGCUGAGUGAGCGAAAGCCAGGGGAGCAAACGGGAUUAGAUACCCCGGUAGUCCUGGCCCUAAACGAUGAAUGCUUGGUGUGGCGGGUAUCGAUCCCUGCCGUGCCGAAGCUAACGCAUUAAGCAUUCCGCCUGGGGAGUACGGUCGCAAGGCUGAA